rfam:Ovis aries breed Texel chromosome 6, whole genome shotgun sequence.
UCCCUGGUGGCUCAGCGGUAAAGAAUCUGCCUGCAAUGCAGGAGACACAGGUUUAAUCCCUGAUCCAGGAA